GCAGUAUGUAAAUAGACUGAUUACCUGCUGCUUGAUUCUCUUUCCAAAACACCACCUUCACAUCUCUGGUGCCAGUGAAGAAAAUAACUCAUGGUAUAAAACCAGUUAUAGAUCUUUUUAUUAUUAUUUGAUGGCAGCAUUUCCAUCAUUGUGGUGAUUGAUCAGGCCUUUAAAUCCUGUUCAAAACCUGCAUCUUUCCUCAGUUCCUGCCACUGUCCAUGCCAUCUGCCAGCAGACUGCCACUUUCUCAGAUGUGUCCAUUAUUUGGAGCUGGUCAGUGGACAAUCUCUUCUGUGUCUCAUCAUGGGCUGAGGGAUGUGCUGUGGGUGUGCAUCACAGGGAGCAGAUCUGAGCGAUUCCCUGGGUCCUGUGAAGUGGCUCUCUCUCCUGACUGGAUGAGAUGGUUUGGAAGCCACAGUGUAUGUGCAUCAGGAAUAAAUAGACCAAAAUAUCAGGUUUGCUUCUUCUUAUGACAACUCAUUUAUUUAUUUAGUGUAUUAAUCAACCCAAGUAUGAAGUUCAGUCCCACAGCUGUUGGAAUUAUCAAGCCACCCUGAGUAUCAGUUUCCUCCCUCUGUUGGUUGUCUCACAGCGGGUCUGUAUUCCAGGUGUAUCCCAUUCCCUUACUUUUGAUUGCCAUGGAGAUACCCAUCUGCCAACAUAAUGUUGUCUCUUUCUUCAUGAUCUAUCAGUUUUCUGGGAGAGCCUUUUGCCUUGGCUUUGGCAAUAUCUGUUGAAGAGUAGCUACAGGUAGAUCUGGACCACUCCAUUGCAGCCUCGUGGCAGCUCAGGGUUACCUGGCUGUGGGGAAGGGAUAACAUCUGAGCCUUUCUCUGACCUCCUUUCCACCUUCCAGUCCUGCAGCAGCAGAACCCAGAGCAGAGCUUGCCCUUGCAGGGAUAGAAACCCACACAACACUGGCGGCUUUCCUGGCUAAGGAGGCUGAAACAUUUUCUCCUAUAACCCCCUAAAUCCAGCAGACACUGAGUUCAGUCCACCUUAGCCAGUAUUAAACCAGAGAUAAUAACCCCUUGCUUUGCCUCCUGAGUGUAUUUUCACCUAUUGAGGGGAACAAAAUUUAAGAUCCUCACAGAAAGCACCUUCCUUUCCACACCCUCCCUUUCCCUUUGCCACGUCUGUGCUGGCUGGGGGCAAUGGAAAGGCAGUGCCCUUUGAGUGUCUGCAGUUUAUAGCAAGCUCACAGUGACCAUUUGCAUAAUGGGCUGUGCUCCCUGGUGCAGAGUGUGACAGGAAUUGCUUACACACACUUUAUUACAGAUUUAAUAUAGUGCCUUUCACCGGAGUCAAACACAGAGCCAGGCAGGGAAACAAGCCCCUCGUGAAGCUCAUGGAUAAGCACAUAAAGCAAGAAUAAACUGAGAUUAGGCAGGGUGGGAAAAAAAGCA
rnacentral:lncRNA from 1 species